AUUGAACGCUGGCGGCAGGCCUAACACAUGCAAGUCGAGCGGAUGAAGGGAGCUUGCUCCUGGAUUCAGCGGCGGACGGGUGAGUAAUGCCUAGGAAUCUGCCUGGUAGUGGGGGAUAACGUCCGGAAACGGGCGCUAAUACCGCAUACGUCCUGAGGGAGAAAGUGGGGGAUCUUCGGACCUCACGCUAUCAGAUGAGCCUAGGUCGGAUUAGCUAGUUGGUGGGGUAAAGGCCUACCAAGGCGACGAUCCGUAACUGGUCUGAGAGGAGGAUCAGUCACACUGGAUCUGAGACACGGUCCCGACUCCUACGGGAGGCAGCAGUGGGGACUAUUGGACAAUGGGCGAAAGCCUGAUCCAGCCAUGCCGCGUGUGUGAAGAAGGUCUUCGGAUUGUAAAGCACUUUAAGUUGGGAGGAAGGGCAGUAAGUUAAUACCUUGCUGUUUUGACGUUACCAACAGAAUAAGCCCCGGCUAACUUCGUG
rnacentral:rRNA from 1 species